rnacentral:rRNA from 1 species
GACUAACGCUGGCGGCAUGCCUAACACAUGCAAGUCGAACGCGAAAGAGGGGUAACCCUUGAGUAGAGUGGCGGACGGGUGCGUAAUACGUAGGAAUCUGCCCUAAAGUGGGGGACAACCACGCGAAAGCGUGGCUAAUACCGCAUAAUCUCGAGAGAGUAAAGGUGGCUAGCAAUAGCUAUCGCUUUAGGAUGAGCCUACGCCGGAUUAGCUAGUUGGUAGGGUAAUGGCCUACCAAGGCAACAAUCCGUAGCUGGUCUGAGAGGACGACCAGCCACACUGGGACUGAGAUACGGCCCAGACUCCUACGGGUGGCUG